UCCGGGGCUAAAACUUACUACCGAAGCUACGGCAUCAGUAAUGAUGGGUAGGGGAGCUUCCCAUACGGGUUGAAGCAUGACCGUAAGGACAUGUGGACAGUAUGGGAGUGAGAAUGUUGGCAUGAGUAGCGAGAUGUGGGUGAGAAUCCCACAGGCCGUAAACCCAAGGUUUCCAGGGGAAGGUUCGUCCGCCCUGGGUUAGUCGGGACCUAAGCUGAGGCCGAAAGGCGUAGGUGAUGGACAACAGGUUGAUAUUCCUGUACUACCGAUAACCGUUUGAGAGAAGGGAUGACACAGUAGGAUAAGCUAAGCACACUGUUGGUUAUGUGUGCCCAAGCAUUGAGGCAGUCAAAGCAGGCAAAUCCGCUUUGAUAAUGCUGGGAUGUGAUGGGGAGCGAAAUUUAGUAGCGAAGUAGCUGAUUUCACACUGUCAAGAAAAGUCUCUAUCGAGGUUAAAGGUACCCGUACCGCAAACCGACACAGGUGGGUGAGGAGAGUAUCCUAAGGCCAGCGAGAGAACUGUUGUUAAGGAACUCGGCAAAAUGACCCCGUAACUUAGGGAUAAGGGGUGCCACCAUCCGGUGGCCGCAGAGAAUAGGCCCAAGCGACUGUUUACCAAAAACAUAGGUUUCUGCUAAGUCGCAAGACGAUGUAUAGGAGCUGACGCCUGCCCGGUGCUGGAAGGUUAAGGGGAUCUGUUAGAGCAAUCGAAGCAGUGAACUUAAGCCCCAGUAAACGGCGGCCGUAACUAUAACGGUCCUAAGGUAGCGAAAUUCCUUGUCGGGUAAGUUCCGACCCGCACGAAAGGCGUAACGAUUUGGGCACUGUCUCAACAACAGACUCGGUGAAAUUGUAAUUCCGGUGAAGAUGCCGGAUACCUGCGACAGGACGGAAAGACCCCAUGGAGCUUUACUGUAGCUUGACAUUGGGUCUUGGUACUACAUGUACAGGAUAGGUGGGAGGCUUUGAAACCAGGACGCCAGUUUUGGCGGAGCCAUCCUUGGGAUACCACCCUUGUAGUACUGGGACUCUAACCAUAGGCCAUGAAUCUGGUCUUGGGACACUGUCAGGUGGGCAGUUUGACUGGGGCGGUCGCCUCCCAAAAGGUAACGGAGGCGCUCAAAGGUUCUCUCAGUACGGUCGGAAAUCGUACGUAGAGUGUAAAGGCAAAAGAGAGCUUGAUUGCAAGACAUACAGGUCGAGCAAGGAUGAAAAUCGGACUUAGUGAUCCGGUGGUUCUGCGUGGAAGGGCCAUCGCUCAACGGAUAAAAGCUACCCUGGGGAUAACAGGCUUAUCUCCCCCAAGAGUCCACAUCGACGGGGAGGUUUGGCACCUCGAUGUCGGCUCAUCACAUCCUGGGGCUGUAGUAGGUCCCAAGGGUUGGGCUGUUCGCCCAUUAAAGUGGUACGCGAGCUGGGUUCAGAACGUCGUGAGACAGUUCGGUCCCUAUCCGUCGCAGGCGUAGGAAAUUUGAGAAGACCUGUCCUUAGUACGAGAGGACCGGGAUGGACGUACCUCUGGUGUACCAGUUGUUCUGCCAAGGGCAUGGCUGGGUAGCUAUGUACGGAAUGGAUAAGCGCUGAAAGCAUCUAAGCGCGAAGCCAACUUCAAGAUAAGAUUUCCCACCG
rnacentral:rRNA from 1 species